UCUGGUGGCGAUGGCGAGAAGGUCACACCCGUUCCCAUACCGAACACGGAAGUUAAGCUUCUCAGCGCCGAUGGUAGUUGGGGGUUUCCCCCUGUGAGAGUAGGACGCCGCCAGGC
rnacentral:rRNA from 4 species